rnacentral:lncRNA from 1 species
UGAGCCCCAGACAUCGAUUAUCUGCUGACAAAUUAUACAAAUAUUCACUGAAGAUGGUAAUUGCUCAGCGCAGGAACAAUCUAGUGAGGAGCCUCAGUCUGGUUCGCGCUCAUUUUUUCAGUGCGUUACAUUUUUUUCUCAAUUUGUUUUUGCAGGCCAUCUAAUAAUCUGGUCAGGUAAAAAUGUAUUUGAACUCAAAUUUCACGAUCUGGUAGGCAACCUUUUUUAGGAUUUAAAUUAUAUAUUGACAAUUUCAUCAUGGUUUUAGGUCCAUUCCUAAGAACUAGUGAACGAAAAGCCCGAAUUAACGGCUCCUGAGGGGAAUGUAGACCAAUGAUACCAGUCACGGAAAAGACUCGGAAUGCCUGUUACUACUUGGAUGAGUAGAUGCGGAAUCAGUUUCAGCCAUCAGAAAUCGACCUGUCUGCUUCUUCAGUAAAAUCCCAACCGCUUUGAGUUGGUACAUUGCUAUCAUAAAUAUUUUUUUAUUUUUGUGUGUAAAUUCGGUGUAAUUUUUGUAAUUUGCUUUGACACAAUGAAAUGUAUAGCCCAGUUUUUUAUGUAAAAUAUCUUUAUUGAUAGGCCUAAGUCGUUCAUUAUAUACAUUGAUCCAUACUUUUUUUUUAUCCAACAGAUUUAGAAGGGAACAAUUAAACAAUUUGACUCCAAUACAUGCGAUAUAAUCAAUGGAAUUUCGGAUAUGCUAAUGAAUUUCGUCACAGAUGGUACAGUAUUCUAACUACAUUAUGAUGCAUAUUUAUUGACAAAUAAUCAUGUUCAGAGGCAUGUUGCUCUUUCCUGUCAUGCUGUGCAAUGGAGAACGACGUUUCUAAAAGCAAUCAGCAUUUGCCAAUCAACUGUGGGUUGUCCUGGUGCAGCAAAAUGCCCCGCAAGGGAGGCCAAUUUGGUGUGAAGCCAAAUCCAAUCAAAUCACAUCCUGAGCAAACGUCAUCAUGUCAGGAAAAGGUCUUGAUUUCUAGUCUUCUUGUGUUGAUGUCUUGCAGUAGUUCGCUUAAUCUAGCUAGUUUGCUUAAUCGGCCCUUUUCCAAGCCAUGGAUGGAGAUGGGGAUUUAAACUUGAGGUGAUGGAGAUAGGGAUUUGGACUUGAGGAUUUGACUUAAUUCUCUGUACAGGCCAAUGAUUAUAACGGCAAUUCUGAUCUAACCAUAAAUUCAUGCCACUGGCCUGAGACGAUUGAAGUUCAAUAUGUAGCCUAGUAGACUCACAUUACCUAGCUAGCUAACAUAGCUGGUUCAUUGUUGCCCAUGUGAGGAAGUUAGGACAGCACAAAUUUUAGCUAGGUAGCCUAUGAAAGCAUAAACUAAAAGCGUGGGUUUGAAUCUUGAAACAUGGAUUCCGAUUGGUCAGACCAGCAUUGAAUAGACCUUAGCACGAAUACUUCCUGUUUGAGUUUCUGCCUAUAGGAAGGGAGGAGCAAAAUGGAGUCGUGAUCAGAUUUGCCGAAGGAAGGGUGGGGGAGGGCCUUCUAGGCAUUUGGAAA